GACCAUGAUAGAUGCUACUUGUUUAGCAGGUUCAUGUGCUGUCAAGGAAACCUUGUUUCUGCAGAUGAAAGCUGAGACCUGAUUCCCUGGCAAUCAAACACAUUUAAUCCAGAAGUAUAGAGAAGUCUACUCUGUUAAGACAUCAAACACAAGAUAGUUUAUGCCUCCAAAGAGUUUAUGCCUUUACUUUAUGACCCUAGCAUCUUUGCCAACAAUACACACCGCUGGAACUUCGCAAGCUGUGGUUUAUGCUAAAGUGGACCAUUCUUCAAAAUGACUUCAUGCAGGAUUUAAAAAGUCUCCCCUUAAAUGGUAUUUGAAAUGCAGUUCUGUAAAAGAUGUGGAGGUGAAGAGGUUUGCACUCAGAAUAAAAGGACACAAAACCUUCAGCAACUCUGGAAUAAGAACCUAUUCAAGAGAAUGAGCACUGCUAAAUUUCUCUAAUGAAGCAAUUAUUUCAAGCUGUGUUUCUCAAAGAAUAUUUAGUAAUUAAGCUUAUGAGUGCUUAACGGGAACAAAGCUAAAUGGGGCACUGUACGGAAUUCUCUGGGUUGUGACCAAGCGGCUGUAGAGCACGGAGGAAAAGCUGUGGCCUUGGAAGGCAGUGAUGCUUUUGCACUGUGAGCGGGCCCGAGAGGCAGCUUCAGCCCCGCCCUGGAUGAAGCUGUUCUCUGUGGUCAGCGAGCCCGGCACCUCUCCCCCCACCUGACACCUGCUCUGCACUGGCCACUGCUUUCCCACCUGGUCCUGUCUGGCCUCACACUCCCGUCUAGUUUCCACUGACCAGAGCCCUGGCUAACUGCCAUCACCCUUCAACGUCAGUCAUCUUGCACAGGGCAGUGUUGAACAUCGGGACAGAAAGUCAGUAAAUGCGUGUUCUUGUCACGGUACCGGGGGCAGCUCACCCUUUCAUUUCAGUGCACAGAUGAAUCUCUGGGGCAACAUGCAGGUGACCGAUCUGCUGACGUCUAACUGGGCUCCAGCACGCCGAGUUGUGGCCCCGAAGCAUCAUUCCCAGGCAGAGCAUGUCGGGUCAUCCCUGGACCAGAUCCCCCUGGUGAUUCCAGACCCUGAGUGAGGGUGGAAGCCAGCAGGGCCUUUGGGCAUCCUAGACACGGACUAGGACUGUCUUUCUCCUCCUCGGUGCAAGGACUCUUGGCGAGAGAGGAGGGAAGGUGCAAUGCUCCGGAAGUGACAUUUUCACUGUGCCGUGUGUCAGGGAAACAGUGCAUAAGAGCCAGCACGGACGGCAGGAGGUGCCAACAGACCGCAGAGGAGGCCAAAUGCAGUCCCAGGGCAGAAGCAGCAGACCCUCGCCCCUGAAGGAGAGAGAAGCCAAGCUAGAGAAAGGUGAUCUGCAGCCUGCUGCAGUGUUUCUAGGCUGAUUCAGAACCCACUGUGGGGUCACAGCCCUGGUUGAGGAAGCAUGCAGGCAUCAGUGCUCGGCAGGGAAAGUCUGGCUGACUGACUUAAUGGCUGUGCCUGUCUACAGGGGUGGACGUGUUAGCCACAGUCCCUGGGCCUGGUGAGGUGCAGCCAAGAUGGCAGUGCUCAUGUCAGGCUGGACCCCACACGCCAUCAGGCAAACUGCUGAAGGGCUGGGCUGCAGCGCAGCACCCCCGUGCCCUUGGGGCAAUACCUCACUCUGCAGAGCAAAGCAAAACUAAACAAAGCCUUGCGUAAACUGAUGGAUGUUUCAGUGUAAGUAGGAGAUCAUUCUUUCAAGAUAUUUGUGAGACCAUGGCAGCUUGCAUCUACUCUUUUUAUACAUGUACAUUAAUGAAACCAAUCUGAGAUCCUUCUGAAUGUUUAUAGUCAACCAGCACUUAAUGGAUAUGUCAUACUUGGAAAAUGAUACCGAGGUAUUAGUGCAGGUAUUAGCUGUUCUUAAAUGGUUUGCUUUUGGGUGGAUACUACAGGGAAGCACACUGCCUCUAAGAAUCCUUUAUGCCCAGAAGGUGAUGAGGCAGCUUUAUCAUAUUCCCAUUUUCUUUAAAGUUUCAUUUUAAACAACACUUCAGCAAUAAAACCAUUUCUAACACAUAAAGGUAGGGAGGAGAACUAAUUCUGCAAGACAAGACUCAAAACUAUUACAGUGACUUGGCAGUUAGUAGAGUUGAGCAUAUCAGUUGCUCAGGAAGGUAGUAGGAGAGACCAUCUGUGUAGGUUAUUUUGCUUUGUUUUACUCAGUGGUGAAAUUGUUAGUAUAGGCAAAGCCAGAAAAUUAAGAGAGGCUAUAAUGCUUGGGUUUAUAAAAUUUGACUAGUUCUUAAUGAAAAACAGUACUAUCAGUGAUGACCCUUUAAAUUGUUAGAUAUUGAAAUUUACUAAGAUUGAGAUUUAAAUUCAGAGCAGUGUUUGUGUGUGUAAAAGCACACGUGUACAUACGGCGGGCAGAGAGAGCGCUGGAGAGCAAUCGGCAACAGCCACUGAAAUGUGGAAUUCAUGACCUCCAGACUCACAGUCCCUCUCCUAGGGGGCGAUGUCCACAGGGAUAGCACACUCGAGUGGAGGAUGUCAGUGCAGGAUGAUUAUGCUGGGACUGUUCCUGAUGGGGUGAGAUUGGAUAGAGCCAUGAUCACCAAAGAAGCACGGACAAGUCGGGGCAUCUGCAAAAGUGAAUUUCUUACAGCUGCAUCCACUAACCUGAAGGAUUUCCAUGAGGUGCUCUUGGAUGCAAUAACCACCUGUAUGGAACUGGUUUGUGUUAAAUAAAACCAGCAUGCAUAUCUGUGUGUAUCAGCAAAUUGUUAUAUGAGCGUAAGGAAAUGAAAAAACAAAAACUAGAUUGUUCAUCUGAAUGUGAUGGAAGGUGGAGUGAUUCAGAUGUGCAGGGAAAGACACACACGGAAAAGAUACAGGGGAAGAGUGA